GGAUAGCUCAGUCAGUAGACCAUGAGACUCUUAAUAUCAGGGUCGUGGGUCCGAGCCCCAUGUUAGGCA